rnacentral:rRNA from 1 species
GACGAACGCUGGCGGCGUGGAUUAGGCAUGCAAGUCGGACGGUAGAGCUUUAUCGUAAGAUAGAGUUUGAGAGUGGCGAACGGGUGAGUAACACGUAGGAAUCUACCCUUAAGACGGGGACAACCCAGGGAAACUUGGGCUAAUACCGGAUGAGAGUGCGAGAGAUUGCAUUUAAAAAGGAUGGCGAAAGUUGUCGCUUAGGGAUGAGCCUGCGGUCUAUUAGUUAGUUGGUGAGGUAAGAGCUCACCAAGGCGAUGAUAGAUAGGCGGCCUUAACGGGUGGUCGCCCACACUGGGAUUGAGAUACGGCCCAGACUCCUACGGGAGGCAGCAGUCGAGAAUAGUCUACAAUGGCCGGAAGGCUGAUAGUGCGACGCCGCGUGAACGAGGGAGCCCUUCGGGUGUAAAGUUACUUUUACUAGGGAAGUAAAGUAGAAGUCACGUGUGAUUUUUGUCAUGUACCUCGUGAUAAGACAUCGGCUAACUCCGUCGCCAGCAGCCGCCGGUAAGCACG